rnacentral:rRNA from 1 species
UAUGUGAUCGUCUCUCGCAUAUCAAUAAGCGGAGGAAAAGAAACUAACAAGGAUUCCCCUAGUAACGGCGAGUGAAGCGGGAAGAGCUCAAAUUUGAAAUCUUAAAGGGUUUCCCUUUACGAAUUGUAGUUUAAAGAAGUGUUUUCUGUUGAGGUUUUGGUAAAAGUUCUUUGGAAUAGGACAUCAUAGAGGGUGAGAAUCCCGUAUUUGUCCUUUACUUUCAACUUUGUGAUACACCUUCAAAGAGUCGGAUUGUUUGGGAAUGCAGUCCAAAAUGGGUGGUAAAUUUCAUCUAAAGCUAAAUAUUGGCGAGAGACCGAUAGCGAACAAGUACCGUGAGGGAAAGAUGUAAAGAACUUUGAAAAGAGAGUUAAACAGUACGUGAAAUUGUCAAAAGGGAAGCGUUUGACACCAGUGUUGUUUUUCUGAAAAUCAAUUAAAGAACUGUUUAUGCUAAGUUGUUUAGACUUUAUCAGCUAACUGUUUAGUUUUGAGCUUUUCUUUAAUGCACUUUUCAGUUAACAAGUCAACAUCAAUUUCUUUUGCUGUAAAAAAGCUUGAGGAAGGUGGCUUGAGAUUCGUCUUAAGUGUUUAUAGCCUCUUGCCUAUGCAGUCGGAGAGAUUGAGGUCUGCAGCGUAGAUCCUUCGGGGCUAAAUGCAUUUGUGCUAAGUUAUAACAUUUUAUAGACAACUUGUUGACUAUGAUUUGUCUUGUAGCUUACUCGCUUAUGUUAUUUUACCUACGCUUAGGAUGUUGAGUAGCGACAUACGCAC